rnacentral:lncRNA from 1 species
CUUAGUCUUUAGUUUUUUUUAUGUUGUGUCUUGUUUACUAUUGUUUGUCUGUUUGUCUUUUUCUUUUUUAGCCAUGGAGUUGUCAGUUUGUUUUCUAUCUAUGAGCUUGAAUGUCCCUCUGGUAUCUUUUGCCCCCUUUGCAGGUGUAUUAGAACCAAAUCAGAGUAUGUCACAUACGGUUUCUUACAAAAAUGGGUUGUACAAAAAUAACCCCUAUAUUUGAC